AUUGAACGCUGGCGGCAGGCCUAACACAUGCAAGUCGAGCGGAUGAAGGGAGCUUGCUCCUGGAUUCAGCGGCGGACGGGUGAGUAAUGCCUAGGAAUCUGCCUGGUAGUGGGGGAUAGCGUCCGGAAACGGGCGCUAAUACCGCAUACGUCCUGAGGGAGAAAGUGGGGGAUCUUCGGACCUCACGCUAUCAGAUGAGCCUAGGUCGGAUUAGCUAGUUGGUGGGGUAAAGGCCUACCAAGGCGACGAUCCGUAACUGGUCUGAGAGGAUGAUCAGUCACACUGGAACUGAGACACGGUCCAGACUCCUACGGGAGGCAGCAGUGGGGAAUAUUGGACAAUGGGCGAAAGCCUGAUCCAGCCAUGCCGCGUGUGUGAAGAAGGUCUUCGGAUUGUAAAGCGCUUUAAGUUGGGAGGAAGGGCAGUAAGUUAAUACCUUGCUGUUUUGACGUUACCAACAGAAUAAGCACCGGCUAACUUCGUG
rnacentral:rRNA from 1 species